UCCCUCCACCAGUGCCGGUAUACAAGAAGCCGGUCCCUCCCCCCGUCCCGGUCUACAAGAAGCCUCACCCUCCGCCCGUCCCAAUCUACAAGAAACCUCUCCCUCCACCUGUCCCAGUCUAUAAGAAGCCUAACCCUCCACCAGUCCCAGUAUACAAGAAACCUUACCCUCCACCAACACCAAUCUACAAGAAACCUCUCCCUCCUCCCGUCCCAGUCUAUAAGAAGCCUAACCCUCCACCAGUCCCAGUAUACAAGAAACCUUGCCCUCCACCAAAACCAAUCUACAAGAAACCUCUCCCUCCACCUGUCCCAAUCUAUAAGAAGCCUCUUCCACCACCAGUUCCAGUAUACAAGAAGCCACUUCCACCACUAGUCCCCAUAUACAAGAAGCCAUUUCCACCAC
rnacentral:lncRNA from 1 species